GCCGGAAUAGCUCAGUUGGUAGAGCAGAGGACUGAAAAUCCUCGYGUCACCAGUUCAA
rnacentral:tRNA from 1 species